rnacentral:rRNA from 1 species
GAUGAAUGCUGGCGGCGUGCCUAGUACAUGCAAGUCGAGCAAAUGGAUUAAGAGCUUGCUCUUAUGAAGUUAGCGGCGGACGGGUGAGUAACACGUGGGUAACCUGCCCAUAAGACUGGGAUAACUCCGGGAAACCGGGGCUAAUACCGGAUAACAUUUUGAACCGCAUGGUUCGAAAUUGAAAGGCGGCUUCGGCUGUCACUUAUGGAUGGACCCGCGUCGCAUUAGCUAGUUGGUGAGGUAACGGCUCACCAAGGCAACGAUGCGUAGCCGACCUGAGAGGGUGAUCGGCCACACUGGGACUGGGACACGGCCCAGACUCCUACGGGAGGCAGCAGUAGGGAAUCUUCCGCAAUGGACGAAAGUCUGACGGAGCAACGCCGCGUGAGUGAUGAAGGCUUUCGGGUCGUAAAACUCUGUUGUUAGGGAAGAACAAGUGCUAGUUGAAUAAGCUGGCACCUUGACGGUACCUAACCAGAAAGCCACGGCUAACUACGUGCCAGCCGCCGCAGUAA